rnacentral:rRNA from 1 species
UACGUAGGGUGCAAGCGUUAAUCGGAAUUACUGGGCGUAAAGCGUGCGCAGGCGGCUUUGUAAGUCUGUCGUGAAAGCCCCGGGCUCAACCGGGGAAUUGCGAUGGAGACUGCAAGGCUUGAAUCUGGCAGAGGGGGGUAGAAUUCCACGUGUAGCAGUGAAAUGCGUAGAGAUUUGGAGGAACACCGAUGGCGAAGGCAGAUCCCUGGGUCAAGAUUGACGCUCAUGCACGAAAGCGUGGGGAGCAAACAGG